rnacentral:rRNA from 1 species
ACAAACGACUCUCGGCAACGGAUAUCUCGGCUCACGCAUCGAUGAAGAACGUAGCAAAAUGCGAUACUUGGUGUGAAUUGCAGAAUCCCGUGAACCAUCGAGUUUUUGAACGCAAGUUGCGCCCGAAGCCUUUCGGCCGAGGGCACGUCUGCCUGGGCGUCACAC